AAGGCUUCAAUAUCAAUGAGGUUUUGCUUCCACUUAUAUAAAUGUGUUUAGUAAAGUUUUUAUUGAAGCCGAUAAAUUUGUUCCCCUCGCUAUCCAAUGCUGCAAUUUGUGUGCUGUAUUAGGACGUCGGGGUACUAAAUUC
rfam:Lupinus angustifolius cultivar Tanjil contig_22557, whole genome shotgun sequence.